UGCUAAUGUUGUUAUGGUGUCAUGGAUUGAAACAAACAAGAAUUAUUUCCAAGAAAUGCAUGUUUAUUUACAUCGUACGUAAGGGGUACGGUCAGAUGUUGAACUGAUAAAUGAGGAGCUACAAUAAGAGGUUGUAGAUAAAUGGAGUCUGAUUAUCACAGGGGCAGGUAAAUACAAAUAACAACAACAAUGCAAUUUGGUUCACGUGGGUUUCAGUCAUUGACAACCCGAUAUUCUGAUUUAAAAUAUUAUUUAUUUUGCCAGAAUAUUGUAGACGAAUUUUAUGCAUUCUUUGGGGUAGCCAUUAUUCAUAAUUGUAAAUCUCUAUUAAAUUCUACAUUGCAACGCAUCCCAAUUAGGUUUGCUUAAUUUUAAGUUAAACUGUGCAACGAACCCCUUAUUCAAUGUCGCAUCUGCGCCCACAUAAAAUAUGUUAUGAUGGCAGACACCGUGGUAGAUAUCUGGAAAUUUUCUUAUAAAUAAAACAUUGAAACCUUAUCACAAUAUCAGUAUUCUUACAAUAUCGAUCAUAAUCAUAAAUGACUAUGAAAAUUUUGGGAGUAAUUGUUAUACUAAUAUUGGCUUACGCUAAAAAUGCAUUUGGCAAUACCCGCUUAUGUGGUGCAAAAUUGGAUAUGGCCCUAUUGGAUGUAUGUGGCCAGACGGGAUUCAAUACAAGACUGAAGAAAUCAAACGUUUCACCGGAUAUCAUGGAAGUUCUAAAUCCCAUGGCAACUUUAAGCGAUGUAUUUCGGAGUCAAGAAGAAAAUUUUCUGGCGAAAAUUCGUAGACGCCGACAGGGCAUUGUCGAUGAAUGUUGCAGAUUGAAAGGUUGUACGUACAGCGAAUUGAGUCAAUAUUGCAGUAGUAGUCAGCUGUGAAGUUAAAUCAAUCAUGAAAUUAUAAUAAACGAAACUAAGUGAGAGGUCAUGGUCCUUUGCCAAUUUUUUCUAAUUAAUAUUGAAUCCCAAAAAAAAAAUGGUAUACAUUCUACAAGUAUGUUGUAAAAAAUUAAAUAAUUCUAUAAGAUUUAA